UUCAGAGAACAGACUGCAGUCGCCAAGUCAUAAUACUCUUUCGUUAACGUGUGGACGUACUAGUGUUAUAUGUGUUUUGCCUGGAACAUGGGAGGUAUAUUAGGGUACCUAGCGGAUAACUUUAUCGAUAAGCUAUUUCUUAUUUAAUGAAAGUUUGACUGAUCGCAUUAGCUUUGGAGGUUUAUCUUUAUGACUAUAUAGAAAUACAUCUCAAUCGACCAUGAAGCCAUGGAUAUUAGAAGUGUGUUUACUGAUCGCAUACAUGCAACUUAUUUCUGGUUCAGAACCACAUAAAAAUGUCCGACUCGUCGGAGGAUUCAACAAGUACGAAGGGAGGGUGGAAGUCUUCUGGAACGACACAUGGGGUACGAUAUGCGAUGAUCAGUGGGACAGACGAGAUGCCUGGGUGAUCUGUAAAGAGUUGGGUUUCGGUAGUCCUCUUCAGAUCGCUAGCACGGCCCACUUUGGAUCAGGACCUGGUCCUAUCCUGCUGGAUAACUUGGAAUGUAAAGGAACCGAGCCUAACAUACUGAACUGUUCACAUUCUGGGAUAGGUGUCCAUGAUUGCACUCACUUUGAGGAUGCUGGUGUGGCGUGUUCACCUCCAGUUCUAUGCCUCACUUAUCCAUGUAAUCAAGGGAUCUGUGUUGAUUCAGGAGAUACCUUUCAUUGUAUCUGUAUUCCAGGCUUCACAGGCAAGCUCUGCGAUCAAGAGGUGAACUGCACGUUACCAGACCAGGCUCCACUUGGUGCACACUUUGUGUCGCCGCACACUUCUUACUCGUUUAACGAGGUAGUUCGUGUUGCUUGUACGGACGGACCAUGGUCCACCUCGUGGACUUGCAAUCACAAUGGUCAAUGGAACUCACAUUAUAUACCAUGUGCUUCUCUCUCAGAUGCCUACCGUUCAGCUGCUACACACUCCUAUACCGUCAUCGGGAUUGGAUCAGCAUUGGUUGUUAUAGGGGUCGCCGUCUUUAUCUUUGCCAUCUUCAUUUUAAUUCGGCGUAAGCGACAGCGUGGGGUGGAAAGUCUGUAUGAAAUCUCCAACUUGGCUCGCUUGGAUUCUGUCCAAUCAGCCUACCUGACCAUGACAGGAGGUAAUUCCCCGAUGCCAUCUCCAAGACGGACCAGUUCUGUUCUUAGCACCGAUCCUCUCAUCAAAGCUUCCAGAGCCAACAUGGCGCUUCCGCCAACCCCAGCAGAUCUCGUCCGCUCUCCGCUAUCCACGCCUUCGCUUUCAGUUCCAAUCUCCGACGGGAAUCACGAGACAGAGACCCGGACCGAAAGACAGAUCGAUAAGGAGAUCGACAAGCGAAUUGCAACGCAGAGUGAAAAGCAGAUCGCAACUCCAAAUGAAAAGCCGAGUACGAAGCCGAGUGACAAACCGAGCACGAGGCCGAGUGAGAAGCCGAGUACGAAGACGACGGUAACGCGGUCGUCUUCAAACGUCGCCGCGCAAAAGCCACCUGUUGCCCCUGCCCGCCCGAAGAAGAACAACGAACAACGCAGCAAGCCACUUUUCAAGUUCCCGCCGCCACCGCCUAUACCCCUGACGCCUGCACCGAACAAAACUUCGCGCGCAGAUGGGACCAUACCGGCUGCAAACGGUGGUAUGAUGCAUAAUGAUAAAAGCAAGCUCUUGUCCAAGCAGAAGAGUCUUGAGGAUGAAACGUCGCUCAUGGUAUGUGCUGAUGAUCGCAAUUCUAUGAGGUCACAUUUUAAUGAUGAACAUGGCAAUGACUACGGCACGAAAGACAAUUUAAACAAACCCGUACAGUCUCCAUAUGCAAGUAUUUAGUGUGAACACUACUUUAAGAAAAUACAAGCAUAUUUACCAUGUAUAAAUAAGGUGCAAGUUUGAAAUGUACUCAUUGAUUGACUGAUUGUUGUAUCAUUGUAUCUCUCUUUAUACAGUACUCGUUAAUGACGAA
rnacentral:lncRNA from 1 species